CUAUACCACUCGUACACGGCGGUUCUGAGCGCGCCGUCCGCACACCCGCCGGACGACUGCUCGCUACGUUUUGUUAGCC
rnacentral:sRNA from 1 species